GCCGUUGUAGCUCAGUUGGUAGAGCAAAGGACUGAAAAUCCUUGUGUCGGGAGUUCGAUUCUCCCUGACGGCA
rnacentral:tRNA from 1 species